rnacentral:rRNA from 1 species
GACGAACGCUGGCGGCGUGCUUAACACAUGCAAGUCGAACGGAAAGGCCCUGCUUUUGUGGGGUGCUCGAGUGGCGAACGGGUGAGUAACACGUGAGUAACCUGCCCUUGACUUUGGGAUAACUUCAGGAAACUGGGGCUAAUACCGGAUAGGAGCUCCUGCUGCAUGGUGGGGGUUGGAAAGUCUCGGCGGUUGGGGAUGGACUCGCGGCUUAUCAGCUUGUUGGUGGGGUAGUGGCUUACCAAGGCUUUGACGGGUAGCCGGCCUGAGAGGGUGACCGGCCACAUUGGGACUGAGAUACGGCCCAGACUCCUACGGGAGGCAGCAGUGGGGAAUAUUGCACAAUGGCGGAAGCCUGAUGCAGCAACGCCGCGUGCGGGAUGACGGCCUUCGGGUUGUAAACCGCUUUCGCCUGUGACGAAGCGUGAGUGACGGUAAUGGGUAAAGAAGCACCGGCUAACUACGUGCCAGCAGCCGCGGUGAUACGUAGGGUGCGAGCGUUGUCCGGAUUUAUUGGGCGUAAAGGGCUCGUAGGUGGUUGAUCGCGUCGGAAGUGUAAUCUUGGGGCUUAACCCUGAGCGUGCUUUCGAUACGGGUUGACUUGAGGAAGGUAGGGGAGAAUGGAAUUCCUGGUGGAGCGGUGGAAUGCGCAGAUAUCAGGAGGAACACCAGUGGCGAAGGCGGUUCUCUGGGCCUUUCCUGACGCUGAGGAGCGAAAGCGUGGGGAGCGAACAGGCUUAGAUACCCUGGUAGUCCACGCUGUAAACGGUGGGUACUAGGUGUGGGGUCCAUUCCACGGGUUCCGUGCCGUAGCUAACGCUUUAAGUACCCCGCCUGGGGAGUACGGCCGCAAGGCUAAAACUCAAAGGAAUUGACGGGGCCCCGCACAAGCGGCGGAGCAUGCGGAUUAAUUCGAUGCAACGCGUAGAACCUUACCUGGGUUUGACAUGGAUCGGGAGUGCUCAGAGAUGGGUGUGCCUCUUUUGGGGUCGGUUCACAGGUGGUGCAUGGCUGUCGUCAGCUCGUGUCGUGAGAUGUUGGGUUAAGUCCCGCAACGAGCGCAACCCUUGUUCACUGUUGCCAGCACGUUAUGGUGGGGACUCAGUGGAGACCGCCGGGGUCAACUCGGAGGAAGGUGGGGAUGACGUCAAGUCAUCAUGCCCCUUAUGUCCAGGGCUUCACGCAUGCUACAAUGGCUGGUACAGAGAGUGGCGAGCCUGUGAGGGUGAGCGAAUCUCGGAAAGCCGGUCUCAGUUCGGAUUGGGGUCUGCAACUCGACCUCAUGAAGUCGGAGUCGCUAGUAAUCGCAGAUCAGCAACGCUGCGGUGAAUACGUUCCCGGG